GAGUGGCGAACGGGUGAGUAAUGUAUCGGAACGUACCAUUCAGUGGGGGGUAACGUAGCGAAAGUUACGCUAAUACCGCAUAUUCUGUGAGCAGGAAAGCAGGGGAUCGCAAGACCUUGCGCUGAUUGAGCGGCCGAUAUCAGAUUAGCUAGUUGGUGGGGUAAAAGCUCACCAAGGCGACGAUCUGUAGCGGGUCUGAGAGGAUGAUCCGCCACACUGGAACUGAGACACGGUCCAGACUCCUACGGGAGGCAGCAGUGGGGAAUUUUGGACAAUGGGGGCAACCCUGAUCCAGCCAUGCCGCGUGAGUGAAGAAGGCCUUCGGGUUGUAAAGCUCUUUCGGCCGGGAAAAAAUCGCAUGGGUUAAUACCCUGUGUGGAUGAUGGUACCGGAAUAAGAAGCACCGGCUAACUACGUGCCAGCAGCCGCGGUAAUACGUAGGGUGCGAGCGUUAAUCGGAAUUACUGGGCGUAAAGCGUGCGCAGGCGGUUUUGUAAGACAGGCGUGAAAUCCCCGGGCUCAACCUGGGAACUGCGCUUGUGUCUGCAAGGCUAGAGUAUGGCAGAGGGGGGUGGAAUUCCACGUGUAGCAGUGAAAUGCGUAGAGAUGUGGAGGUACACCAAUGGCGAAGGCAGCCCCCUGGGCCAAUACUGACGCUCAUGCACGAAAGCGUGGGUAGCAAACAGGAUUAGAUACCCUGGUAGUCCACGCCCUAAACGAUGUCAACUAGGUGUUGGGAGGGUAAAACCUUUUAGUACCGGAGCUAACGCGUGAAGUUGACCGCCUGGGGAGUACGGCCGCAAGGUUAAAACUCAAAGGAAUUGACGGGGACCCGCACAAGCGGUGGAUGAUGUGGAUUAAUUCGAUGCAACGCGAAAAACCUUACCUACCCUUGACAUGUCCAGGAGCCUGAAGAGAUUUGGGUGUGCCCGAAAGGGAACUGGAACACAGGUGCUGCAUGGCUGUCGUCAGCUCGUGUCGUGAGAUGUUGGGUUAAGUCCCGCAACGAGCGCAACCCUUGUCGUUAAUUGCCAUCAUUCAGUUGGGCACUUUAACGAGACUGCCGGUGACAAACCGGAGGAAGGUGGGGAUGACAUCAAGUCCUCAUGGCCCUUAUGGGUAGGGCUUCACACGUCAUACAAUGGUCGGUACAAAGGGUUGCCAACCCGCGAGGGGGAGCCAAUCCCAGAAAGCCGAUCGUAGUCCGGAUUGCAGGCUGCAACUCGCCUGCAUGAAGUCGGAAUCGCUAGUAAUCGUGGAUCAGCAUGUCACGGUGAAUACGUUCCCGGGUCUUGUACACACCGCCCGUCACACCAUGGGAGCGGGUUCCGCCAGAAGUAGGUAGCCUAACCGCAAGGGGGGCGCUUACCA
rnacentral:rRNA from 1 species